CCUACGGGGGGCAGCAGUGGGGAAUAUUGCACAAUGGGCGCAAGCCUGAUGCAGCCAUGCCGCGUGUGUGAAGAAGGCCUUCGGGUUGUAAAGCACUUUCAGCGGGGAGGAAGGCGGUGAGGUUAAUAACCUCAUCGAUUGACGUUACCCGCAGAAGAAGCACCGGCUAACUCCGUGCCAGCAGCCGCGGUAAUACGGAGGGUGCAAGCGUUAAUCGGAAUUACUGGGCGUAAAGCGCACGCAGGCGGUCUGUCAAGUCGGAUGUGAAAUCCCCGGGCGCAACCUGGGAACUGCAUUCGAAACUGGCAGGCUAGAGUCUUGUAGAGGGGGGUAGAAUUCCAGGUGUAGCGGUGAAAUGCGUAGAGAUCUGGAGGAAUACCAGUGGCGAAGGCGGCCCCCUGGACAAAGACUGACGCUCAGGUGCGAAAGCGUGGGGAGCAAACAGGAUUAGAUACCCCUGUAGUC
rnacentral:rRNA from 1 species